CUCCUGAUGCUUCUCUUCUCAGUUCUAUCCCUGGAACUCUGCAGAGAAGUGUCGGAAGAC
rnacentral:pre_miRNA from 1 species